GUUCUACCGCCGCCUCCACCUACCUCACCCACACCAAAAACUAAACUUGGUAAGUUCUUACUAGUUACUACGAGUGCUUCAAGAUUCAAGCUAUCGAUGAAAAUUAGAUAAUGUACUUGUUUAUUGUCUUUGUAGAGUGCAACCCCCUAUGCAUCGAAAGGUGCAAGUUGCAUUCUCGGAAGAGAUUAUGCAUGAGAGCGUGCAUGACUUGUUGUGACCGAUGCAAAUGCGUUCCUCCCGGGCAAUACGGAAACAAAGAAAAAUGUGGCAAAUGCUACACAGAUAUGACUACUCAUGGUGGAAAGUCGAAAUGUCCUUGAAUGAGGAUUGAGGGCACACUUGGAAUAACAAUAUUAAUAAGAACCAAUUUUUUUCUUCCUCGAUGUUAUUCGGUGUCGUCUAUUACUCUUUAUCAAACAUAUCAUUAUAUGCAUUCCUGCUUAUUUCAAUGAACAAAUGUUACUUGCAUGAGCUAAAUGCACAAUUUUGAGCACUAAAUAAAGGGAAAUACCGAC
rnacentral:lncRNA from 1 species